AUUGAACGCUGGCGGCAGGCCUAACACAUGCAAGUCGAGCGGAGCGGCGGACGGGUGAGUAAUGCCUAGGAAUCUGCAAGGUAGCGGGGGAUAAGGUCCGGAAACGGGCGCUAAUACCGCAUACUAUCAGAUGAGCCUAGGGCGGAUUGGCUAGUUGGUGGGGUAAAGGCCUACCAGGGCGACGAUCCGUAACUGGUCUGAGAGGAGGAUCAGUCAAACUGGAACUGAGACACGGUCCAGACCCCUACGGGAGGCAGCAGUGGGGAAUAUUCGACAAUGGGCGAAAUCCUGAUCCAGCCAUGCCGCGUGUGUGAAGCAGGUCUUCGGAUUGUAAGGCACUUUAAGUUGGGAGGCGUUACCAACAGAAUAAGCACCGGCUAACUUCGUGCCAGCAGCCGCGGUAAUUC
rnacentral:rRNA from 1 species